rnacentral:lncRNA from 1 species
UCCAGAAUGUAUCAUGCACUGUGCUAGUUACUGAAGAGAGGCCACAUACACGGCAUAUGGGAAGUGCAAAGCACCUUACAAAUAUAAACAGCUAUUAAAGUAAUAUGAAACCCCACAGUAAAAAUAAGAGAAAAUAAAUUAAAAAUACAGUAGACUAGAUCCAGCUUAUGUAAAAGGGAAACCAGUGGUGCAGGAGCAUUUGGGGUCCAUUUCGAGCCGCGGUAAGGCUGGAGAUCUCAAGCGAUAACAGAGAGACAGCAAGGCGCACGUGGACGGCAUGUUCACCAAUUACCAAACUUUCUGACCUGAGCAACUAGAAGAAUGGAGUUGCCAUUAUUUGACACAAAGAAGACUGCAGGAGGGACAGGUUUGAGUAGAAAUAUGAAGAGCUCACCCAAGUGGAUGUGGUAAGUAGGCUAUUUUGAUAUUUGGACCUGAGUUCAGGAAGAAGGUUGAGAGUGAAGUAGGAAUUUGGAGGUUUUCAGAAUCAAUAUAAUAUGUAAAACCCAAGGGACUGAAGAAAUUACUUAGGAAAUGAGUGUAGACAGAAAAGCAAAGAGUUCCAAUGACUGGAUCCUGGGGCAACUCUAAUACUUAGAGGUUGGGAAAAUGAAGAGGAAUCAGCCAAACACACUGAGAAGGAAGAGCCAAAAAGAAGAAAACCAGGAAAGUGAGAACUCCCAGAAGCCAAGUGAAUAAAAUGUUUUAAGAAAGAGAG